rnacentral:tRNA from 1 species
GGGCGGAUGGCUCAGUGGUAGAGCACCUGUUUCACAUACAGGGGGUCGUAGGUUCGAAUCCUGCUCCGCCCACCA